UACGUAGGGGGCAAGCGUUGUCCGGAUUUAUUGGGCGUAAAGAGCGUGUAGGCGGCCAUACAGGUCAGCUGUGAAAACUCGAGGCUCAACCUCGAGACGUCGGUUGAAACCGUAUGGCUAGAGUCCGGAAGAGGAGAGUGGAAUUCCCGGUGUAGCGGUGAAAUGCGCAGAUAUCGGGAGGAACACCGAUGGCGAAGGCAGCACUCUGGGCCGGCACUGACGCUGAGGAGCGAAAGCGUGGGGAGCGAACAGG
rnacentral:rRNA from 1 species